GACGAACGCUGGCGGCGUGCUUAACACAUGCAAGUCGAACGGAAAGGCCCUGCUUUUGUGGGGUGCUCGAGUGGCGAACGGGUGAGUAACACGUGAGUAACCUGCCCUUGACUUUGGGAUAACUUCAGGAAACUGGGGCUAAUACCGGAUAGGAGCUCCUGCUGCAUGGUGGGGGUUGGAAAGUUUCGGCGGUUGGGGAUGGACUGGCGGCUUAUCAGCUUGUUGGUGGGGUAGGGGCUUACCAAGGCUUUGACGGGUAGCCGGCCUGAGAGGGUUACCGGCCACAUUGGGACUGAGAUACGGCCCAGACUCCUACGGGAGGCAGCAGUGGGGAAUAUUGCACAAUGGGCGGAAGCCUGAUGCAGCAACGCCGCGUGCGGGAUGACGGCCUUCGGGUUGUAAACCGCUUUCGCCUGUGACGAAGCGUGAGUGGCGGUAAUGGGUAAAGAAGCACCGGCUAACUACGUG
rnacentral:rRNA from 1 species